GGCCUCCCAAUUCUUACCACAUGUUGAGUUCUUUAUACUGACUGUAUAGAAAGUGGAGGUACAGUAAAUGCACCCCAUACACACCUCAACCCAGGCCCUUUCCCUGGUCUGUAUUGUGAAUUGGGGGACACAA